rnacentral:lncRNA from 1 species
UUGAUCAUUUUGGUGAAUUCAGUUUAUUUUUUCGGCCAUUUUUGUAUCCGAUUUUUUGGUCAUUCUUCAUCCGUUUAUUUUCUUUCUUUUAUUAAAUUAAUCAUAAAAUAUUUUAGAAUUUAUUAUUUAGUUAAAUUAAUUUAUUUUUUAUUCAUUUAAUUUAUUUUUUGUUUUUUAUGUUAAUUUUUAAUGUUUUAAUUAUUAAACAUAUAUGUGCAUGAUUUGUUUGUUGGAUUUUGAAGAAAGAUCUUCAGCAAACAACCAC